ACCCUGCAUAGUCGCUGAUGCCUUGAUAUUUAAGUUAAAUUAAGGCUUUCAGAAGGAUUUUAUGUGUUGAUAGAUCAAUUUUAAGACUAUCUUUGAUUGCAUUUAGGACUUGAUGGUGGUGUAAUGCCCCAACAACAAACAAACGACGCUCCUUUUCUGGAUGAAGGUAUAAAUAAUCAGAUCGAAGAGCUUGAGGCGUUAAUGGAUGCACAUGUACUUGAAACUGGAAACACUGCAUCUUUGGAUGCUGAUGACGAAAUCAAACAUCAACUGACAACAAUUUCAAAGCGGGAAUAUCUCUCCUACACACCAAGGCGUAGAGAGGCUUUUCACCAGGUAUUUAGAAAGCUUAAUACAUUAUUUAGAUUCUUUUCAAAAACAGAGUUUCACAAAACUGAAGGAAGCACUCACAGCUGCUCUUACGAUAGGUUCCAGAUGACCCUAAUACUCCCGUUUUCACCUUCGUUUAGCUAUAUGAUUAUCUUGUUAUCAGAACAAUGAAGUUUAAGUAUAUCGUAUAAAAGUGAAAAGAGCACUGGUUACAAAAAGCUGAAAUCCUUUCAGUUAUUUUAUGAAGGAUAAAUCAAGAAGUUUUCUGUUGCCAAAGAUAAUAAUUUUACAUUCUUUGAUGUCCGCAUGAAAGCUGCCAUGAAGAAUACUUUGUAUAAAGUUCUUGUUGUUCUUUCAAAUUCAAACGGCGAUGUUUGCAGUGCAGCAUGUACAUGUCAAGCUUGAAUUGGUUUAGGUGGUUUUGGUAACUGUAAUCACGUUGGUGGUGUUCCGUUCUUUUUGCCCUGGAAGAUUUUAACAGAAAAGGGUAUCAAGACUGCCCAAAGCAUUCCAAAGUUUCCUGUAUUUAAAAGUUAUCUUCCUGGAAUGUUCCUGUUUCACUGAAGUCUAUUUUGCUGCAAUCUAUUGAUGAAAUUGUUAUUCAGAAAUUUAGAUUGGCAAAAGAUAAUAUUAUUCCCAAGAAAUCGAAAUGCUAUGAUCCAGAAGCACCGGAAGACCAAAAACUGGAUGAGGAAGGGCUUGAAAAAUUGAAGUCAAAGCUUGCAAGUUGUUUGCCAAACAGUACCUGUUUUUCUUUUUACAAGCUGAAGGAGUCAGCCUCUUCUAUUUCAACUGAAAUUGUAUCAUCUUUGAAUAAUCGAUAAUCGUAUCAUAGAAUCAUAUACGAUAAUUCUGAUGUUAAUUUGUGUAUUCUUGAGGACUCAGUUCCAUUCAAUAAUUUUUAUGAUAUAUCUUGUCCUGAUUUCAAAGGGAUGAUGGAAUAUUUUUGCAGCACAAAGAGUAACCUUGGUGAAACAGAGAUCAAGGAGAUAUAAGAAUUAACUCGAGGCCAAGCAUCAAAUGAAACAUGGAAAUUGCAUCGAAUGUACCGCAUAACUGCAUGAAAUCUCUAUACUGCUGCAGUGAACUCUGUUGAACCAUCAAGAA